rnacentral:rRNA from 1 species
AACGAACGCUGGCGGCAGGCUUAACACAUGCAAGUCGAACGCAUCCUUCGGGGUGAGUGGCAGACGGGUGAGUAACGCGUGGGAACGUGCCCUUCAGUUCGGGAUAACCCAGGGAAACUUGGGCUAAUACCGGAUACGUGCGAGAGCAGAAAGAUUUAUCGCUGAAGGAUCGGCCCGCGUCUGAUUAGCUAGUUGGUGGGGUAAUGGCCCACCAAGGCGACAAUCAGUAGCUGGUCUGAGAGGAUGAUCAGACACAUUGGGACUGAGACACGGACGAAACUCGUACGGGAGGCAGCAGUGGGGAAUAUUGGACAAUGGGCGAAAGCCUGAUCCAGCCAUGCCGCGUGAGGGAUGAAGGCCUUAGGGUUGUAAAGCUCUUUCGUCCGGGACGAUAAUGACGGUACCGGAAGAAGAAGCCCCGGCUAACUUCGUGCCAGCCGCCGCAGUAA